CGGGGGGGGCAAGCGUUGUUCGGAUUUACUGGGCGUAAAGGGCGCGUAGGCGGCGCGACAAGUCACUUGUGAAAUCUCUGGGCUCAACCCAGAACGGUCAAGUGAUACUGUCGUGCUAGAGUGCGGAAGGGGCAACUGGAAUUCUUGGUGUAGCGGUGAAAUGCGUAGAUAUCAAGAGGAACACCUGCGGCGAAGGCGGGUUGCUGGGCCGACACUGACGCUGAGGCGCGAAAGCUAGGGGAGCGAACGGGAUUAGAUACCCCGGUAGUCCUAGCCUUAAACGAUGAAUGCUUGGUGUCCGGAGUUAGAUAGUCUCCGGGUGCCGUCGCUAACGCUUUAAGCAUUCCGCCUGGGGAGUACGGUCGCAAGACUG
rnacentral:rRNA from 1 species